rnacentral:RNase_P_RNA from 2 species
GCGGGGGAAUGCUCGGUCGCGCUUGAGCGUGAGUUCAGGUGAGGAAAGUCCGGGCACCGCAGGGCAGGAUGCCAGCUAACGGCUGGUCGGUGAGUCAAGCGCCUGCAUGUGCGCCGAUUUCAGCAUGCGGGUGGCGGCGAAGCCGAAGGAUAGUGCCACAGAAACCAGACCGCCAUGUCCACGGGUGCACCGGCGCGCACGGGCAUGGUCAGGGUGAAACGGUGCGGUAAGAGCGCACCAGGCUGCCUGGAGACAGGCGGCGCUGGUAAACCCCAUCUGGUGCAAGACCCGACAGUGCGCGAGGGUGGCCCGCCCGUUGACCGCCAGGAUGGUUGCUUGAGGCAGCUGGCAACAGCUGUCCCAGAGAGAUGACCGUGCAGCCGCCCCCCGGGGCGGUGGACAGAACCCGGCUUACAGUUCCCCCGCUCCG